rnacentral:tRNA from 1 species
GGGGAUGUGGUCUAGUGGUAUGACGGAUCCUUAGCAUCGUGAACAUGGCUUCCGGCUUCAUUCAGUGGAGGAGCACACUAAUGUUUAGAGUAGCUUGGAUCAGGUCCGGGGUUCGAUUCCCCGCAUCUCCA